UGUUUCGACUUCCCCAAUGGUGCUGCCUCU
rnacentral:piRNA from 1 species